CCCAGGUCAUGUAGCCAAUAAAUGAUAGAGCCAGGCCUUGGCCUUGGUUUCUGUCCAAGGUCUGGGCUCUUUCUUCUCCUUCCUAUUUCCUUUACCCUUUCUAACCUUGUUCGAAGAAUUUCAAGGCAGGAUAAUGAAAAGUGACUCUUCACAACCUUUUCUUCGGAGGAAGGCUGGAAGAUGGGGGUUUAUAUCACUUAGAGGGCUCUGUUCCCCUGAAGUCCUUGUAUAUCUCUCAGCUCAGGACCGUGCAGCCGGUGAGUCAGCGUGGCUCCCAGCGGAUGUGAGAGUGACCUUGGCAGCCACCACAGCUAAGCUCAGGUGGAGAAACAGAGGCAGAGAGAAGUUUGGUGACUUGCCCGGAAUCACCCAACUAGUAAAGUGUGAGCCGAGAUUGGACCUUGGCUGACUGACUUCCUAGUCCACACCCUAAACUAGGAUGUAGUGCUCUGGAUAAGCAGGCAAAGAUUUCAACAGUUGAUUUUUGUGACUUGGAGUUAUUCUAGCACACCACUGAAGGCCAUUGCCAAAGAAAGCAGCAGGCAGAAGUAAAGCAGGAUUUAGAGAGGAGAAUUUAAAAACUGUUUGACAGAAUGGAAUGACCAUCACUGAAAAAGGUGGAGAACCACUGACGUAGAAUACAGCCUUUGAAUCCAGGAAAUGAUGCAGAAGUCCGUUGCAAUAGAAGCUCUAAGCAUUUAAUGUGGUUGGCUCAUGUUGAAAGUUGACCACGUGCUAAGCUAGUU